AUCCAAUUGACGAGUCCCAAAUAGGACGAAAUGCGCGUCCUGGAU
rnacentral:hammerhead_ribozyme from 1 species